rnacentral:rRNA from 1 species
UGCCGCGUCGAGUAGAAGUAAGGCCUUCGGGUUGUAAAGCUCUUUUGUCAGGGACGAUAAUGACGGUACCUGAAGGAAUAACGCCCCGGCAAACUUACGUCGC